rnacentral:rRNA from 1 species
GACGUAGGAUGCAAGCGUUGUCCGGAAUUAUUGGGCGUAAAGAGUUCGUAGGCGGUUAUCUAAGUCUGGUGUUAAAGCCCGAAGCUCAACUUCGGCAUGGCAUUGGAAACUGGAUAGCUAGAGUGUGGUAGAGGUAUCGGGAAUUCCUGGUGUAGCGGUGAAAUGCGUAGAUAUCAGGAGGAACACCGGUGGCGAAAGCGCGAUACUGGGCCAUAACUGACGCUGAGGAACGAAAGCCAGGGGAGCGAAAGGG